GGCUCAGAACGAACGCUGGCGGCAUGCCUAACACAUGCAAGUCGAACGAGACCUUCGGGUCUAGUGGCGCACGGGUGCGUAACGCGUGGGAAUCUGCCCUUGGGUGCGGAAUAACUUUCCGAAAGGAAUGCUAAUACCGCAUAAUGUCGUAAGACCAAAGAUUUAUCGCCCAGGGAUGAGCCCGCGUAAGAUUAGCUAGUUGGUGGGGUAAAAGCCUACCAAGGCGACGAUCUUUAGCUGGUCUGAGAGGAUGAUCAGCCACACUGGGACUGAGACACGGCCCAGACUCCUACGGGAGGCAGCAGUGGGGAAUAUUGGACAAUGGGCGAAAGCCUGAUCCAGCAAUGCCGCGUGAGUGAUGAAGGCCCUAGGGUUGUAAAGCUCUUUUACCAGGGAUGAUAAUGACAGUACCUGGAGAAUAAGCUCCGGCUAACUUCGUGCCAGCAGCCGCGGUAAUACGAGGGGAGCUAGCGUUGUUCGGAAUUACUGGGCGUAAAGCGCGCGUAGGCGGUUUUUUAAGUCAGAGGUGAAAGCCCGGGGCUCAACCCCGGAAUAGCCUUUGAGACUGGAAAACUAGAAUCUUGGAGAGGUCAGUGGAAUUCCGAGUGUAGAGGUGAAAUUCGUAGAUAUUCGGAAGAACACCAGUGGCGAAGGCGACUGACUGGACAAGUAUUGACGCCGAGGUGCG
rnacentral:rRNA from 1 species